GGCCCAGAGAUGAUCUGAGGACCAGAGGGAAUUAUCUGCAAACAGGUUGGAGGACAAUGACAUAGGUCAAUUGAGACCUGACCAGAUGUGACUGUGCCAGCAUCUUCAGCAGUUUUAGACUGGGGGCACUCGUGGAAAAAUGAGGUUGGCGAACCUGGAGAUCACUGUGGUGGUGCCAAGGAGAAGUAGGGCACUAAGAAGGGUUAAAGGCAGCUGCUAGGCUGGGGGAGGAACAGGCACCUCAGAUGGGUGGAAAAUCUUGACACUGUCACCAUGAGGGACCUAGGCUGGCUGAAGAAUGACAAUCUUGGCUAUCUGAUAGUUACAGAAAGAUUUCUGUGAUAGUGACCAGCAAAGGAACGUGAGUUACCAAGGAGAUGUGAUCAAUCAUCACCUAUUCAAUUCUGUUGGCUUCAUAGAAAGCAUCUUCCCAAAACAUGGACCACAAUGGAGAAAAUUCUACCAGCAAAGCUUGGUUGUCAAGUUUAGGAACAAUGUUUCCUUUCCGGGGUGAUGAAGAGGUGACACAGAGGCUAAGAACACUCACAGUUCCUGCAGAAGACCUGUGCUUGGUUCUGAGUGUCCGCAUGGUGACUCAUAACUGUCUGUAACUCCAAUUCCAGGGGAUGUGAUUCCUUCCUCCGGUCUGCAAGGGAACUGCAAAACACUAUACAUAUAAAAUAAAAAUAAUUCUUUUUCAAAACUAA